rnacentral:rRNA from 1 species
UACGUAGGUGGCAAGCGUUGUCCGGAUUUACUGGGCGUAAAGCGUGCGCAGGCGGUUAUGUAAGACAGAUGUGAAAUGCCCGGGCUUAACCUGGGAACUGCAUUUGUGACUGCAUGGCUAGAGUUUGGCAGAGGGGGGUAGAAUUCCACGUGUAGCAGUGAAAUGCGUAGAGAUGUGGAGGAAUACCGAUGGCGAAGGCAGCCCCCUGGGAUAACACUGACGCUCAUGGCACGAAAGCGUGGGGAGCAAACAGG